CACAGAAAUACGUGAAAUAACCACAACCUCUUAACACCGCAUUACAUGGUGGUGCAACAUUAAUGGGGCAUU